rnacentral:tRNA from 1 species
GUGGCUGUGGCUCAGCCAUAGAGCGCUCGUCUCUCAAGUGUGAGGCCCUGGGCUCGAUUCUCAGCACCACA